rnacentral:lncRNA from 1 species
CAUUAAAUCUUUUGGUGGAGUUGCUAACAAUUGAGCUCAAGCUGGCUCCUCAUCCAUAUUUCUAUAAGUCAAAAGGAUCUACAAUAUUAAAAAGAGGAGAGAUGUUAUACAUCUCGAGAGCUCUAGGUAGGUGUUUGUGGACCUUCAAUAAAAUUUUAUAAUAGGUGUGUCUUGACCUUCCAUAAAAUUUUGUAAGGGCCAAUUUUCUAUUAUUUUAGCUUGUUGUAAGUUUUGGAAAAACUCUCUCUUUCGAAGAUAGACUAUACCCUCUUUAAAAACUUUGUACUACCGGUUUAUAUCCAUAGUUUCCUUAUAUUUGGUGUUA